rnacentral:rRNA from 1 species
AGUGAACGCUGGCGGUAGGCCUAACACAUGCAAGUCGAACGGCAGCACAGGAGAGCUUGCUCUCUGGGUGGCGAGUGGCGGACGGGUGAGGAAUACAUCGGAAUCUACUCUGUCGUGGGGGAUAACGUAGGGAAACUUACGCUAAUACCGCAUACGACCUACGGGUGAAAGCAGGGGACCUUCGGGCCUUGCGCGAUUGAAUGAGCCGAUGACGGAUUAGCUAGUUGGCGGGGUAAAGGCCCACCAAGGCGACGAUCCGUAGCUGGUCUGAGAGGAUGAGCAGCCACACUGGAACUGAGACACGGUCCAGACUCCUACGGGGGGCAGCAGUGGGGAAUAUUGGACAAUGGGCGCAAGCCUGAUCCAGCCAUACCGCGUGGGUGAAGAAGGCCUUCGGGUUGUAAAGCCCUUUUGUUGGGAAAGAAAUCCAGCUGGCUAAUACCCGGUUGGGAUGACGGUACCCAAAGAAUAAGCACCGGCUAACUUCGUGCCAGCAGCCGCCGUAA